rnacentral:misc_RNA from 1 species
GAUGAAGAACGUAGCGAAAUGCGAUACGUAAUGUGAAUUGCAAAUUCAGUGAAUCAUCGAGUCUUUGAACGCACAUUGCGCCCCCUGGUAUUCCGGGUGGCAUGCCUGUCCGAGCGUCAUUGCUGCCCUCAAGCACGGCUUGUGUGUUGGGCCCCGUCCUCCGAUCCCGGGGGACGGGCCCGAAAGGCAGCGGCGGCACCGCGUCCGGUCCUCGAGCGUAUGGGGCUUUGUCACCCGCUCUGUAGGCCCGGCCGGCGCUUGCCGAUCAACCCAAAUUUUUAUCCAGGUUGACCUCGGAUCAGGUAGGGAUACCCGCUGAACUUAAGCAUACAAUAAGCGGAGGA